CCGAACAAAAUUACAAGAUACUUGGCGCUUUUUUGUUUGUCGCUUUUCAUAUGGCAUGGUAAGAAAUUAAUUUCUGUUUCUUCAAAAUUGCUAUUUGAUGGAAACUUCGGUCUUGGACAUAGAGAACGGUAAGUGGUGAGCCAUAAGCGGUAAAAAAAAUAAUAACGCAGCCUAUGUCAAUGUUCCAAAUGUCAAUUUUAUCGUUUACCGCGUAUCGCUUAUCGCUUUCUGUACGUUCAGUGUCUACGUCUCAUGAAUAUUUUUUCAUCGUUAAAAAUGGCAUUUUUCCAUUUUUUCAUCCAGUGGAAUAUUCAAAUUUUUGCGUUUAAUAUAUUUGCUUUCUUGUAGAAUACAACGAUUUAUUUCGUAUUCCUUUUAAAAUUCGAAGUAACACUCAGAACUGCUCGUUUAUCGCGUUCAGGUGUAACAGAAGGUCUCUCAUUCCUUUUAGUUUUCCUAUAAGCUCCUGGCGUUUUUAAUACAACAUAUACCAGUAUUGUCCAUCGCUAGCUAUACAUUUUUCCCACCUGUCUGGCAAUUGGUGGAUGCCACG